CCUACGGGAGGCAGCAGUAGGGAAUCUUCCACAAUGGGCGAAAGCCUGAUGGAGCAACGCCGCGUGGGUGAAGAAGGUCUUCGGAUCGUAAAACCCUGUUGUUAGAGAAGAAAGUGCGUGCGAGUAACUGUUCACGUUUCGACGGUAUCUAACCAGACAGCCACGGCUAACUACGUGCCAGCAGCCGCGGUAAUCCGUAGGUGGCAAGCGUUAUCCGGCUUUAUUGGGCGUAAAGGGAACGCAGGCGGUCUUUUAAGUCUGAUGUGAAAGCCUUCGGCUUAACCGGAGUAGUGCAUUGGAAACUGGGAGACGUGAGUGCAGAAGAGGAGAGUGGAACUCCAUGUGUAGCGGUGAAAUGCGUAGAUAUAUGGAAGAACACCAGUGGCGAAAGCGGCUCUCUGGGCUGUAACUGACGCUGAGGUUCGAAAGCGUGGGUAGCAAACAGGAUUAGAGACCCGAGUAGUC
rnacentral:rRNA from 1 species